GGAGGGCAAGUCUGGUGCCAGCAGCCGCGGUAAUUCCAGCUCCAAUAGCGUAUAUUAAAGUUGUUGCAGUUAAAAAGCUCGUAGUUGAACCUUGGGCCUGGCUGGUCGGUCCGCCUCACCGCGUGCACUGGUUCGGCCGGGCCUUUCCCUCUGGGGAGCCGCAUGCUCUUCACUGAGUGUGUCGGGGAACCAGGACUUUUACUGUGAAAAAAUUAGAGUGUUCAAAGCAGGCCUAUGCUCGAAUACAUUAGCAUGGAAUAAUAGAAUAGGACGUGUGGUUCUAUUUUGUUGGUUUCUAGGACCGCCGUAAUGAUUAAUAGGGACAGUCGGGGGCAUCAGUAUUCAAUUGUCAGAGGUGAAAUUCUUGGAUUUAUUGAAGACUAACUACUGCGAAAGCAUUUGCCAAGGAUGUUUUCAUUAAUCAGGAACGAAAGUUAGGGGAUCGAAGACGAUCAGAUACCGUCGUAGUCUUAACCAUAAACUAUGCCGACUAGGGAUCGGACGAUGUUACUUAUUGACUCGUUCGGCGCCUUACGGGAAC
rnacentral:rRNA from 1 species